rnacentral:lncRNA from 1 species
UAUUGAGACGGCUCGUAGGUUCAAUGUCAUUGCUCUCUCUUCCGCCACACUUUUCGAUGGUCACUGCCUCUCUUACGCCACACUUUUCGAUGGUCACUGCCUCUCUUACGCCACACUUUUCGAUGGUCACUGCCUCUCUUACGCCACACUUUUGGGUUGAAUGCGUCUCCACUUCCACCACGGUCAUCUCCUUUCGAGAGUCUAUUUGAUCGUUUCCAGAUUAUUCAGCGCUUCAAUUGUUUGGUUGUGUUUGAUGUGCCCUUACUACCUAUCGUGAAUGUACCAAACUUACUACUUAGUUUGUUGAGUGUUCAUAGGAUACAACAAUGAGCAUAAGAGAUACUGUCGUUAGGAUCAUGUUGGUCAUUGGGUGACUAUUUCUCACGGUAUGACUUUUAUUGAGUCUCGACCUUUCUACGUGUGACCAUCAUGCCCAACCAUUUCAAUGGAGGAUGUGUUGCCUCACUUUUCCCGACACUCCUAUCACUAUUGUUGAGCCCUAAUCCAUUCCUCGUACUGCUCCUGGUUCUCCAAUUAUUACAAAUUCAACACCAUCAUCUCCUAUGAUUUCCUCACUUCGCUUAUCACGGGGAUUCUAAACUUUCAUCACCGGUGACUUGUCUCC